GCUAUAAUACAACAUUAUAUUCAACCUGGGGAAAGUUGGAAUUGUUCAACCAUCAAAAGAGGGAAACUCAAGUUGAAACCAGAAUUCUCAUGGAAAUGGGCACUUCCAAGCGAUUUUAUUAAUGGCAAUACUAUAGAGGAAACCUNGAAACCAGCAUUGUCAAUUAAAUUCAGGGUCCAUGCUAAUUAUGCACCUCUCUUGGAGGUGAAGAGAACUUCAUUAAAAGUCUAGAUCAGAGCAUCAGAGUACAAAAUAUCCCCUAGC
rnacentral:misc_RNA from 1 species